AGAGUUUGAUCCUGGCUCAGAACGAACGCUGGCGGAGUGCUUAAGACAUGCAAGUCGAGCGAGAAAGCCGUCUUCGGAUGGUGAGUACAGCGGCGAACGGGUGAGUAACGCGUGGAUAAUCUGCCUUCAGGUCUGGGACAACCUCGGGAAACUGGGGCUAAUACCGGAUGAGACUACGGGGACCUCGGUCCUUGCGGAAAAAGAUGGCCUCUCCUUGGAAGCUGUCGCCUGGAGAUGAGUCCGCGUUCCAUUAGCUUGUUGGUGAGGUAAAGGCUCACCAAGGCUUCGAUGGAUAGCUGGUCUGAGAGGAUGAUCAGCCACACUGGAACUGAGACACGGUCCAGACUCCUACGGGAGGCAGCAGUCGGGAAUCUUGGGCAAUGGGCGAAAGCCUGACCCAGCAACUCCGCGUGAGGGAUGAAGGCCUUCGGGUCGUAAACCUCUGUCAGAAGGGAAGAACAGUCGGCCGGUAAAUAGUCGGUCGGCCUGACGGUACCUUCAAAGGAAGCACCGGCUAACUCCGUGCCAGCAGCCGCGGUAAUACGGAGGGUGCGAGCGUUGUUCGGAAUCAUUGGGCGUAAAGCGGGUGUAGGCGGUUUGGCGAGUCGAGUGUGAAAUCCCAGGGCCCAACCCUGGAACUGCACUCGAUACUGCUUGACUAGAGUCCC
rnacentral:rRNA from 1 species